GUAACUUCUUUCUUGCAGCAGACAUUUAUUGAGCUGCUACUAUAUGCCACUGACUAGGGCUGUAGGAGAGGCAAAGAUAAAUAUGGGAUCAUACCUACAGGGAGCUUGCUUGUAAAAUAGUUGGGGACAAAUGCAACUUUUGCAACCUACCUUUGAAGACCCCAUCAGCUUAAGGUUCCACUCUUGGAGUAAAUGGAGAAAUUUAUAACUGCGCGAUAACACCGCCCUGACCUUCUCUACUCAGCGUGAGAAUUAAUUACCUGAGGCCAGUCCUAUGGAACAUUGUGAAGGCACGAUUCAAAGACGCCAGCCAACCAUCUGGCACUUGAAAGAGGCUAAGAAAGCCAGUUCCAUGGACUCUCCCCAUCAUGGCAUCGGCGGUGAGGAAGAACACUCCUAAAAGAGUGGGGGCCUGUACUGGCAGCCUAGGGCUUAUCUGCAGGAUGGAAAAGCUUCCAGGACAUAAGCCCAUCACAGGGCUUACCCAGCUGCCUUUGAGAAAUGUUUGGGGUCACAUUGGCUAAAAUUAAGUACUUUGUGGUGAACUGGAUUUGACUGGAACUAAAGGAUCGACUUCCAAGCUCACUCCUGUGGCUGUCGGCAGGAGGCUUCAGUUCCUUACCACAUAGACCUUUCCACAGCAUGAGGGCUCCAGUGUCUGCAGAUUUGACUGGAACUAGAGGAUCAACUUCCAAGCUGGAACUAGAGGAUCAACUUCCAAGCUCACUCCUAUGGGUGCUGGCAGGACGCUUCAGUUCCUCACCACAUAGACCUUUUCACAGCAUGGCUUCCUCUAAAGUGAGUGGAGAGAGAGGGAGAGAGACAGAGAGAGAGAGAGACAGGAGACAGAGAGAGAGAGGAGAGAGAGAAAGGGAGAGAGAGAGAGAAGACAGAGAAAGCAGCCACAUGCCACAGUGUUUUUACAACUUAAUCUCGGAAGGGACAUGCCAUUACUGCUGCUUUAAUCUACUCUGUAGAAGCAAAUCACCAAGUCCAGUCUACACUUAAAGGGAGGGAAUUGAGUCCCAUCUCUUGCUGGUAGAUGUAUCAAAGAAUUUGUGGACAUAUUUUUCUUCAAUUUUAAAAUGUACUAUCAUUAAUUUUUUUCUUUAUUUUCAGUAGUGCGAUG
rnacentral:lncRNA from 1 species